GACGAGGGGUCCUAGCGUUGUUCGGAAUCAUUGGGCGUAAAGCGUGUGUAGGUGGCCAACUAAGUCAGACGUGAAAUCCCUCAGCUUAACUUGGGAACUGCAUCCGAUACUGGAUGGCUUGAAUCCGGGAGAGGGAUGCAGAAUUCCAGGUGUAGCGGUGAAAUGCGUAGAUAUCAGGAGGAACACCGGUGGCGAAGGCGGGACUCUGGGCCGAUACUGACGCUGAGGAGCGAAAGCGUGGGGAGCAAACAGG
rnacentral:rRNA from 1 species